rnacentral:rRNA from 1 species
GAUGAACGCUGGCGGCGUGCCUAAUACAUGCAAGUCGAGCGAACAGAUGAGGAGCUUGCUCCUCUGACGUUAGCGGCGGACGGGUGAGUAACACGUGGAUAACCUACCUAUAAGACUGGGAUAACUUCGGGAAACCGGAGCUAAUACCGGAUAAUAUAUUGAACCGCAUGGUUCAAUAGUGAAAGACGGUUUUGCUGUCACUUAUAGAUGGAUCCGCGCCGCAUUAGCAAGUUGGUAAGGUAACGGCUUACCAAGGCAACGAUGCGUAGCCGACCUGAGAGGGUGAUCGGCCACACUGGAACUGAGACACGGUCCAGACUCCUACGGGAGGCAGCAGUAGGGAAUCUUCCGCAAUGGGCGAAAGCCUGACGGAGCAACGCCGCGUGAGUGAUGAAGGUCUUCGGAUCGUAAAACUCUGUUAUUAGGGAAGAACAAAUGUGUAAGUAACUAUGCACGUCUUGACGGGACCUAAUCAGAAAGCCACGGCGAACUACGG